AUGGUUCACCAUUCUCUUGACCCAGAAACCCCCACAAAAAGCAUGCAAAUUGACAGGUUAAAAUUUUCAUUUUCACUGCAAGAACACCUGUGGAACCACCCAGGCCAUCGAGGGUAUGCAGAUAUGAAAGCCACCAAGUAUCUAAAAGAUGUCACUUGACAGAAGCAAUGUGUGCCAUUCCAAAGCUACAACAGUGGAGUUGGUAGGUGUGUCUGGGCCAAACAGUGGGGCUGGACACUGGGUCGGUGGCCCAAAAAGAGUGCUAAAUUUUUGCUGCACAUGUGUAAAAAUGCAGAGAGUCAUGCUGAACUUAAGAGUUUGGAUAUAGAUUCUCUGGUCAUUGAGCAGAUCCGGGUGAACAAAGCACCUAAGAUGUGCUACAGGACUUGCAGAGCUCACACGGUCAGAUUAACUGAUACACGAGCUCUCCCUGCCACAUCUAGAUGAUCUUGACUGAAAAGGUACAAAUUGUUCCUAAAGCAGAACAGAAAGUUACUCAGAAGAAAAGGAUAUCCCAGAAGAAACUGAAGAAACAAAAACGUAUGGCACAAGAAUAA
rnacentral:lncRNA from 1 species